rnacentral:snRNA from 1 species
AUUGAUCUUAGCCAAAAGGCCAAGAAGCAAGAAUAGUAGCUAUUCCUAUCAGUUUAAUUUCUGACACACCCUCUAUCCAAGGACAAUAUAUUAAAUGGAUUUUGGAACUAGGAGAUGGAAUAGAACUUUGCUCCAUCCACUCCAUGCAUUGACCCAGGUAUUACUGUACUUCCAGGAAUAGUGCACCCCCU